UGGAGCUUGCUUCCGAUAGGCGUCGACCGGCGCACGGGUGAGUAACGCGUAUCCUUCCUGCCCACCACUUGGGGAUAACCUUGCGAAAGUAAGACUAUUACCCAGUGAUAUCUCUAGAAGACAUCUGAAGGAGAUUAAAGAUUUAUCGGUGAUGGAUGGGGAUGCGUCUGAUUAGCUUGUUGGCGGGGUAACGGCCCACCAAGGCGACGAUCAGUAGGGGUUCUGAGAGGAAGGUCCCCCACAUUGGAACUGAGACACGGUCCAAACUCCUACGGGAGGCAGCAGUGAGGAAUAUUGGUCAAUGGACGAGAGUCUGAACCAGCCAAGUAGCGUGCAGGAUGACGGCCCUAUGGGUUGUAAACUGCUUUUAUAAGGGAAUAAAGUGAGUCUCGUGAGACUUUUUGCAUGUACCUUAUGAAUAAGGACCGGCUAAUUCCGUGCCAGCAGCCGCGGUAAUACGGAAGGUCCGGGCGUUAUCCGGAUUUAUUGGGUUUAAAGGGAGCGUAGGCCGGAGAUUAAGCGUGUUGUGAAAUGUAGACGCUCAACGUCUGCACUGCAGCGCGAACUGGUUUCCUUGAGUACGCACAAAGUGGGCGGAAUUCGUGGUGUAGCGGUGAAAUGCUUAGAUAUCACGAAGAACUCCGAUUG
rnacentral:rRNA from 1 species